rnacentral:rRNA from 1 species
GGUCCAAUACCAGUUGGGUUCCUCUUGCUUUGGCUUGAGGUUCCUGGCUGUGAGGGGUGGCUUGAAAAACUCUUAAGCAAUUUUCUGAAGACAGACUGCUAGCUGGCUUGCUGGCUGCAGACUGAUUUAAUAAUGACAACUCUCAACAACGGAUAUCUUGGCUCCCGUAACGAUGAAGAACGCAGCGAAAUGCGAUACGUAGUGUGAAUUGCAGAAUUCCGUGAACCAUCGAAUCUUUGAACGCAAAUUGCGCUUGAGGCUUCGGCCAAGAGCAUGUCUGGCUCAGCGUCGGCUUACUACCCUCAAUCAAUUCCCUUGUGGAAAUUGAUUGGAGCUGGCUUUCCGGUUUUCCGACUAGGUUGCCGGUCAGCUGAAAAAUAUUCGCGCUGUGGGAGCUGCUUUCCCUUCAAAAGGAAAGCCGAGUUCCGAUUUGGUAGGUGACCUUUGCCGGUUGCAUGCCUUCGUUGCUCGCAAUGGCUUCCAUGAAAGCGUGUGCAGGACGCCUUUUGGCUUUCGACCUGAGCUCAGGCAAGAACACCCGCUGAACUUAAGCAUAUCAAUAAGCGGAGGAAAAGAA